AGAGUUUGAUCAUGGCUCAGAACGAACGCUGGCGGCAUGCCUAACACAUGCAAGUCGAACGCGUGUAGCAAUACACGAGUGGCGGACGGGUGAGUAACGCGUGGGAACCUGCCCAAUGGUAGGGAAUAACUGCGGGAAACUGCAGCUAAUACCCUAUGCUCCCUACGGGGGAAAGAUUUAUCGCCAUUGGAGGGGCCCGCGUCGGAUUAGCUAGUUGGCGGGGUAAUGGCCCACCAAGGCUACGACCCGUAGCUGGUCUGAGAGGAUGAUCAGCCACACUGGGACUGAGAUACGGCCCAGACUCCUACGGGAGGCAGCAGUGGGGAAUAUUGGACAAUGGGGGAAACCCUGAUCCAGCAAUGCCGCGUGAGUGAAGAAGGCCUUAGGGUUGUAAAGCUCUUUCGGCGGGGACGAUGGUGACGGUACCCGCAGAAGAAGCCCCGGCUAACUUCGUGCCAGCAGCCGCGGUAAUACGAAGGGGGCUAGCGUUGUUCGGAAUCACUGGGCGUAAAGGGCGCGUAGGCGGCGCGACAAGUCAGGCGUGAAAGCCCCGGGCUCAACCCGGGAAUUGCGCUUGAUACUGUCGUGCUUGAGGCCGGGAGAGGAUGGCGGAAUUCCCAGUGUAGAGGUGAAAUUCGUAGAUAUUGGGAAGAACACCGGUGGCGAAGGCGGCCAUCUGGACCGGUUCUGACGCUGAGGCGCGAAAGCGUGGGGAGCAAACAGGAUUAGAUACCCCCGUAGUCC
rnacentral:rRNA from 1 species